ensembl:lincRNA
GCAAUGACCCAUAAACCAAGUUAACUAUCCAUAACCACUAAUUUAUCAGGGAAAUAUCACUUGAGUUGUGGGGUUAGUGAAAAAAUGACAAAGACAGAAAUAGAAUAAUUAGGCAAAAUCUGUACCAAAGAAUUGAUGCUUUUGAAUUGUGGUGUUGGAGAAGACUCUUGAGAGUCCCUUGGACAACAUGGAGAUCAAACCAGUCAAUCAUAAAGGAAAUCAAUCCUGAAUAUUCAUUGCAAGUGAAGAGGAAAAGUUAAAAUUUACCUCCUUCUACCUCUGUAACUCACUUUGCCCCUAGCAAAGUCUGGAUCACGUAGGUCACAUAGUCUCAGAAAGUGGGGACUUGCAAUACUAGGAACUGGAGUUUAUCUCACUCACCUUUGUCCUGCUCUUUGAAGUCACCCAGCCCCUGCAAACCUGCUUAAUCACACCUGUCCAGGUCAGGCAUUCCCCUCCCCAUCCUGACCACUGUUUCCACGUGUGCAAAACCCCUUAGUUUAAUCCAGCCUAUUAACAGCUAGUGUUGCCCACUACAGUCUGCCUAUAAACACUCUGUAAUCCCUUUGUUCGGGGCUCAGAGCUUGGAGUGUUAACUCCUCUGGGCCCACCGGCAUAAUGAACCUGAGUUCUCCAACUCUCCCAGUGUGGUGCUUGGUUUCUCGAGUGCUGGUUUCUGCAACAUUUCUGGAGGCCCCAGUGAGAUUCCAACCGUGCUGCCCCCUUGAGCCUCCGGACUGGUGGCUCAGCCGGGUCAGAGCGGAGGAGCCCCGAGACGAACGAGGAGGCGCACCACCUGAUGGUAUUCUCGGUUCUCUUUCCGACCGGUGUUCUGACUCUCCAGACAGCUGAGCCCCAGCUGACUCAUUUGAGGGACAGACCAACUCACCAGGAACGCCACAGGAUAAGGUUGUCAGCCUCCAGCAGCAGUUUUCCUGUUCAACCCACUUCAUUAUUCUUGCUGAGAAAUCCCAUGGACAGAGGUGACUGGCGGGCUACAAUCCAUCGGAUUGCAAGAGUCAGACACAAAUUAAUGACUAAAACAAAAACAAAAAGUUAUAAAUUUUUGAAAAGAAUAAAUAUGCUGUUACUGACAGGCUAGAGUCUUUCCUAUGAGGUAAGUGUGUAAGCUCUUGUUGUGUGUCUAUUUCCUUCUCCUCUGGGAUAUCUUGGGCAAGAACCCUGGAGUGAAGUCCAGGGAAUCUUCCUGGACCAGGAAUCAAACCUGCAUAUCCUGCAUUGGCAAGUUUUUGUUUGUUUGUUUGUUCUUUACCACUGAGCUACCAGGGAAGCCCCAGGAGGUAUCUACCAGUCCAUGGGGACCCCUGUUCAGUGAUCAAUAAACUAACUAUAGCCUAUAGGCCAAAUGAUGGUACUUUUUAUAAACAGUUUUGUCAGAAUUCAUGUUAUCUAUGAUGGCUGUCAUGCUGCAGUGGCAAAGUGGCUGAGAUAGAAAAUAAAUGGUCCAGAAAGCUUAUAAAGUUUAUAGAAAAAGAUAACCUACCCUUAAUGUAACUAGUCAGUCUUACCUAAAAAGGUUUACUUCUUGAAGGAGAUGAACUCCAGCAAUAUCUUUCUUUUUCAAAAUGCAAACAUGGAAUAAAUGGAAAAUAAUCAGACAGAUUACUAGGAAAAUGGUUAGUAAUUUCUGAGCUACUUUAAUAUAUUUGUAAAUUCUUAGCAGCUUGAAAUCAUUACUACUGGACAAGAGCAGUUAUAGACAACAGUGGUGUUUAUACAAGCAACUCACGAGAAUACCACGUGCUUUAAGUAUAGCAAAGGUGCAUUAUAAUUUUGUCUCAGCACCUGUACCCCAAUGUUCAUCACAGCACUGUUUACAAUAACCAGGACAUGGAAGCAACCUAGAUGUCCAUCAGCAGACAAAUGGAUUAGAAAGCUGUGGUAUAUAUACACAAUGGAAUAUUACUCUGCUAUUAAAAAGAAUGCAUUUGAAUCAGUUCUAAUGAGUUGGAUGAAACUGGAAUUUUCACAUCUUAUACAGAGUGAAGUAAGUCAGAAAGAAAAAUACCAAUACAUUAUAUUAACACAUAUAUAUGGAAUUUAGAAAGAUGGUAACAGUGACCCUAUAUUCAAGACAACAAAAAAGACACAGAUAGAAAGAACAGAAUUUUGGACUCUGUGGGAGAAGGUGAGGGUGGGAUGAUUUGAGAGACUAGCAUUGAAAGAUGUAUAUUAUCAUAUGUGAAAUAGAUCACCAGUCCAGGUUCAAUGCAUGAGACAGGGUGCUCGGGGCUGGUGCACUGAGAUGACCCUGAGGGAUGGGAUGGGGAGGGAGGUGGAAGAGGGGUUCAGGAUGAGGAACACAUGUAGAUCCAUGACUGAUUCAUAUCAAUGUAUGGCAAAACUACUACAAUAUUGUAAAGUAAUUAGCCUUCAAUUAAAGUAAAUAAAUUAAUUUUAAAAAGAAAAAAAUUUUUGUCUCAGACAUAAAAUUAGAUAAGAGAUGGAAAAUACCUUAAAUAAUAAUUGUGCUAUAUAACAUAAUGCAUAAU